CCUACGGGUGGCAGCAGUGAGGAAUAUUGGACAAUGGGCGCGAGCCUGAACCAGCCAAGUCGCGUGAGGGAAGACGGUCCUAUGGAUUGUAAACCUCUUUUGUCGGGGAGCAAAAGACGCCACGCGUGGCGUUCCGAGCGUACCCGAAGAAAAAGCAUCGGCUAACUCCGUGCCAGCAGCCGCGGUAAUACGGAGGAUGCGAGCGUUAUCCGGAUUUAUUGGGUUUAAAGGGUGCGCAGGCGGAAGAUCAAGUCAGCGGUAAAAUUGAGAGGCUCAACCUCUUCGAGCCGUUGAAACUGGUUGUCUUGAGUGAGCGAGAAGUAGGCGGAAUGCGUGGUGUAGCGGUGAAAUGCAUAGAUAUCACGCAGAACUCCGAUUGCGAAGGCAGCAUACCGGCGCUCAACUGACGCUCAUGCACGAAAGUGUGGGUAUCGAACAGGAUUAGAUACCCUAGUAGUC
rnacentral:rRNA from 1 species